UUGGCGACGGUAAAGAACCAUAAUACAACUUUCAGCAAUGGAUCUUUUGGCUCUUGCAUCGAUGAAGAACGCAGCGAAUUGCGAUAAGUAAUGUGAAUUGCAGAUUUUCAGUGAAUCAUUGAAUCUUUGAACGCACCUUGCGCUCCUUGGUAUUCCGAGGAGCAUGCCUGUUUGAGUGUCAAAUAAUUCUCAACCCUCCCUCGAUUCGUUUCGAGGGUUUGGCUUGGAUUUUGGGGGGUGCCGGGCGACCCUAGGGUCUUCGGCUCUCCUUAUAAGCAUUAGCGAGGGCGGCGCGAUCUAACCCCCCCACGCAUGAACGGCCUUGGACGUGAUAAUGAUCGUCGUGGCCGGAGUGCUGUUAGUAGGUGUCGUGAAAGUCGGCGCUUCUAAAGACCUCGUCGAAAGACGAAAACUCGAAACUGACCUCAAAUCAGGUAG
rnacentral:rRNA from 1 species